AGUCCAUGGUUAGGACAAUUAUUGACCAAUCCCUUGAAUCGUUCCCAUGCAGUGCUCAAGGUUUCAAAUUCUCUUUGUUCAAAGUUCAUAAUCUCCCUACGCCU